UUUCCGGGCGCCCUGUGUGACGUCACGGCGAGGCGCGGCCGCGGUGGCACAGGGGCCACUCCUACCAUGGCGACCCGGCGAGUAGUAGGGGACACGGGGCCGUGAAUCAUUUGACGCUCGUGUUUGCGUUCUUAGGGUUUGCUGAAUGAAGUCUGGUCGCUUGACGAUGUCUUGGCUCGAAGUCCCAAGUUGCGCACACUUGGCGAGGGCGAUGAGGGCUUCGCAUACGUGAGAGUUGGCCCGAGAGCGAAGGAGAAUUGAAAUGGAAGUCCUGCAGAUUGGGAAUAUUGGUCCUAGCAGUGUGUGUAUUUGGAUAGAAUCCUCUUACAAUAAAACAAGCUGAGGUCCCAGGGAGCUCAUCGUGUCUGUGCUGGAUUUGUUGGUACUGGUGACAUUUGGCAGAGACUGAAUACCUGGCUUGUAGAAGGAAACCUACCUCACCCUCGGUCUUGCUCUGGUAUGUGGAAGGCACACCACGACCAAUGACCAUGCCUCCUGCAUGCCUGGGGAUAAGGUCGAUACGGGACUGAUAGCGACCCCUGGUGGCCAGUGCACCCUUGUACAAAGGAUCGGCCCUCGUGUGGUCAUUUCAGGCAAGGAUGUAACCAUGAGCACCACCCUGAAUCCAGAAAUUGAGGUUUCCUAAAGAGUUCUUGGAAGGCAGUUCCUGGCGGCACUUCAACCUCAAAGAAGCAAAGAGAAGCCAAAACAAAAUCCAGACGCCCUUCAUGGCACAUUUGCUUUGUUAUGGAGGGCAGCGCUGCCAGAGAGAAGUCACUUCUCAAGUUUUCCACAUAUUGUCCCUCCUGGUGUCCUCAGAAAGGGAAGAAGCCACUCUGACUGCCCCAGAGAGGAAAUCCCAUGAGAAGAAAGACUGUGGUUGCAGCAGAGGUGUGGCGGAGGCCCAAGGCCACAUGGAGCACAGUGAGGCCCCCCGGCAGUGUCCCCAGCAACAGCGUCUCAGAGCCUCCGACAUGGUCUUUUGUGUUGUGUGACUCUUGGGAAGGUGGGUACAGCAUGCAGUGUUUUUCUAUCAUAGCUGACCACAGAAUCCUUUUUUUCAAAUGCUCUCUUAAAAUCUGCAGAACACAGUUUAGGGACUGCUGCCCCAAGUGACCAGUAUGCCUCUUCCACUAGUUGGCAGAAACACAAGUAUAGAUGGGAGGCUUCCUUGCUGCUUCACGAGGGUAGGGCCAGAGUGUUAGGACGCUUCAAGGGGACUUGAAGGCAUCAUGUACAUAGCUAAUCACAUGAAAAAGCAUGAAAAAGGACCUGGUCAGCAUGUGGAGCAGACCCUUGUUUAUGGAGUCACCAUUGGUAGCUCAUAGCUGAGCUAGUUGCAUCCUGCUUACCUCCAGGGGCCACCAUUCAUAAGACCCUGGCAGUGGCUGAGGCCCUUUGGUGUUCCCAGAGGCAGCAGCAGCCCUCUAGAAACAGGUUUAUGUUUCAAACUGUAAAAAAACAACAUUACACAGUUGUUGGCCAGGAUAUCCAGUACAGUCUCUCUCACCCUGACUGCAUCCACUGUUGUUGUUCAGUCACCCAGUCGCGUCUGACUCUUUGCAACCCCGUGGACUGCAGCACACCAGGCUCCCCGUCCUUCACUGUCUCCUGGAGCGUGCUCAAGCUCCUGCCCAUUGAGUCUGUGAUGCCUUCCAACCAUCUCAUCCUCUGUCGCCCCCUUCUCACGCCCCCAAUCUUCCCCUUGACUCAUGUUUUUCUGUAAGUGUAGCUUCUCAGGGUGGGAGUGGGUAAGGCUCUUAAGAGAUCAGACUCAGACCUGAGACUUGAAUCCAUCACUGCUUAGCCCACCAAGCCAAGGCAAAUAAGGCAUAUUAAAGCUCUUAUCAAUGUGAUCGCAGUCUCUUUGUGGAAGCCAAAUCCUGCUGCAGCUCCCUGCCCUCAGGCUUCAGUCACUAGAUUCUGAACAGAGGGUACUGUGCCUAAAGUAAAUGAUUUUCUCUGAGCCUGAGAGAGGUGAGACCCCUGAUCACUCAAUUCUACCCAGAACUCCUUUCACUUGUUUCUAAACAUUUUUGCUGCCAUAUGUAAACAUUAAGUAAUUUCUUAAAUCAAACUCUCAUUAUCCUGGAUUCCUUGUAGAUGCACCAUCACAUUUAUCUAAAACAUAAAACAAAAACAGCACAUAACACAUAUAUCUAAAACAAAAUACACCUCUGACCUCACAGGUGACAGUUUUUAUGGCACCGUCUGUCUGGAUUACUUGUUAACUGGAAAAUGAGUGUCAUAUCCUGAGAGUAGGAGAGUGAGGACUUAAAAAACCUCCCCAGAGCACAUUUUGUGAUGUGGGAUUUCAGGAGGAUGAAAUGAACUUACCCAAGGAGGUGCAUGAAAGGAAAGCCAGAGAGAUUGGUACAGAUACAUCUCAUACCUUUGUUUAAAAAAAAAAAAAUUCAUGCUAAGUUGCUGACAAACUUGCAAAAUGUCAACCACUCUUUCUUGUUAUUGUUUAGUCGCUAAGUUGUGUCCGACUCUUUGCAACCCCAUGGACUGCAGCAUGCCAGGCUUUCCUGU